rnacentral:rRNA from 1 species
AGUGAAACUUGGCGGUAGCCUAACACAUGCAAGUGAACGGCGCACGGAGACCUGCCCCUUGGGAUUCCCCGUUGAGAAUGCAUCGGAAUCUACUCUUUCGUGGGGGAUAACGUAGGGAAACUUACGCUAAUACCGCAUACGACCUACGGGUGAAACCGGGGACCUUCGGGCCUGGGCGAAAGAAUGAGCCGAUGCCGAUUAGCUAGUUGGCGGGGUAAGAGCCCACCAAGGCGACGAUCGGUGCUGGUCUGAGAGGAUGAUCAGCCACACUGGAACUGGACACGGUCCAGACUCCUACGGGAGGCAGCAGUGGGGAAUAUUGGACAAUGGGCGCAAGCCUGAUCCAGCCAUACCGCGUGGGUGAAGAAGGCCUUCGGGUUGUAAAGCCCUUUUGUUGGGAAAGAAAAGCAGUCGGUUAAUACCCGGUUGUUCUGACGUACCCAAGAAUA